rnacentral:rRNA from 1 species
UUUGUUACUUCAAACCAAUCGGACUUCGGUCUGACAUCAAGUGAUAUUGAACAAUUUAGCUGAUCGCACGGUCUAAGAACCGGCGACAUAUCCUUCAAAUGUCUGCCUUAUCAACUUUCGAUGGUAGAUUAUGCGCCUACCAUGGUUGUAACGGGUAACGGAGAAUCAGGGUUUGAUUCCGGAGAGGGAGCCUGAGAAACGGCUACCACAUCCAAGGAAGGCAGCAGGCACGCAAAUUACCCACUCCCGGCACGGGGAGGUAGUGACGAAAAAUAACAAGCUGGUCUCAAUGAGUUCCAGCAUUGUAAUGGGAACAAUUUAAAUCUUUUAUCGAGGAUCUAUUGGAGGGCAAGUCUGGUGCCAGCAGCCGCGGUAAUUCCAGCUCCAAUAGCGUAUAUUAGAGUUGUUGCGGUUAAAAAGCUCGUAGUUGGAUCUAGGAUUAGGGCUACGGUCGUUCAGCUUGGACGUACUGUAUGCCCGACUCCUUUUCUCUAGUAUUCGAUUGUUGCUCUUAAAUGAGUGACUUUAGUUGCUGGAACUUUUACCUUGAAAAAAUUGAAGUGCUCAAAGCAGGUU